rnacentral:rRNA from 1 species
CCUACGGGAGGCAGCAGUGGGGAAUAUUGGACAAUGGGCGAAAGCCUGAUCCAGCAAUGCCGCGUGUGUGAAGAAGGUCUUAGGAUUGUAAAGCACUUUCGACGGGGACGAUGAUGACGGUACCCGUAGAAGAAGCCCCGGCUAACUUCGUGCCAGCAGCCGCGGUAAUACGAAGGGGGCUAGCGUUGCUCGGAAUGACUGGGCGUAAAGGGCGCGUAGGCGGAUUGUUUAGUUAGGUGUGAAAUUCCUGGGCUUAACCUGGGGACUGCACUUAAUACAGGCAGUCUAGAGUGAGAUAGAGGGUUGUGGAAUUCCCAGUGUAGAGGUGAAAUUCGUAGAUAUUGGGAAGAACACCGGUGGCGAAGGCGGCAACCUGGAUCUUUACUGACGCUGAGGCGCGAAAGCGUGGGGAGCAAACAGGAUUAGAUACCCUGGUAGUCCACGCUGUAAACGAUGUGUGCUGGAUGUUGGGUGACCUAGUCACUCAGUGUCGUAGCUAACGCGAUAAGCACACCGCCUGGGGAGUACGGCCGCAAGGUUGAAACUUAAGGAAUUGACGGCUGAGAGNGCGACGACGACGACGAGGAGAG